AUGCACCGAUAAGACUCUGAACUAAAGGUUCCUUUUGGUUCCAUUGUGAAACCCAUAGAAGUAGUAUCACAACAACUUAAACUCGUUCGUGAUGUGUUUUGUCAAAGCUUCCUUGCACCUGGCUUCUGAAAAAUCCCACGACGACAUAAUCGAGGUGCUGGUGAAACACGAGGCAAGGAUCCAGAAAGGUCAACCAUCGAAGGAGGAUCUUGUUCAUUCCAAUGAACGGAUGGUGUUCCACGAAAUCCAAUUUACAGUAGUGCUCAUUCCAGCAUUCAUUGGAUGACUCAUCCACUCUUGGCCAAACAGGUUUACCGUUUGUAAAAGCCAUCAUCCACAAGGGUUUCGAUGAAGGGCACACUUACAUAGGAGGGCAUGUUUGGAGCAGGCAAUCUACCUUACGGAGAACUCGUGGAAGAGUGAACCAGUACGUCUACGGAAUAGGAGAAGGCACAGGCUGCCCUCUGCACAAAGACGGGUCCUGCUACGUGUGCCGAAGGCACCUGCUUUUCAGUGCCAUAAAGUUGGCCCACUCCCCUCCAGGACACCACUCUGUCACGGGGAGGCCCAGUGUCAACGGACUGGCACUGUCAGAGUAUGUCAUCUACAGAGGAGAGCAGACCUAAUGUGUUAGUUGGAUGGAAGAACCUGACACCCUCAGCACACAGGGGGACAAACACAUGCCUGUAGGUGACAGCAUUCCCUCCCCCAUAUGCCCCCCAAAGCACAACUAUGACAACAUAACAACAUAACCAACAAAAACAGAUCACAACUCCUGCAGCUCUGUUGCACGCUGGGUAAGUAUCUAAUCAAUGGUAGGCUUCAAGGGAACACCUAUGGUAGGUACACCUAUAGUUCAUCUCUUGGCAGUAGUACUGUAGACUACUUUAUCACUGACCUCAACCCAGAGUCUCUCAGAGCGUUCACAGUCAGCCCACUGACACCCCUAUCAGAUUGUAGCAAAAUCACAGUCUAUUUGAACAGAGCAAUACUCAGUCAUGAGGCAUCACAGCCAAAGGAACUGAGUAACAUUAAGAAAUGCUAUAGAUGGAAGGACUGUAGUGUGGAAACCUACCAAAAAACAAUUAGGUAACAACAAAUUCAAUCCCUUUUAGACAACUUCCUGGACAAAACGUUUCACUGUAACAGUGAAGGUGUUAACUUGGCAGCAGAAAAACUAAACUGUUUUUCCCCUCUCAGCUUCGCUAUCAAAUCAAAAAAGUUCAAACAGAAAACUGACGAAAAUGAACAACAAUGACAAAUGGUUUGAUGAAGAAUACAAAAACCUAAGAAAGAAAUUGAGAAACCUGUCCAAACAAAAACAUAGAGACCAAGAUAACCUGAGUCUACGCCUUCACUUUAGUGAAUCACUAAAACAAUGCAGAAAUACACUACGGAAAAAGAAGGAACAGCACGUCAGAAAUCAGCUCAAUGUAAUUGAAGAAUCCACAGACUCUAACCACUUCUGGGGAAAUGGCAAAACACGAAACAAACAACAACACAAAUAAUUAUCUAUCCAAAAUGGAGAUGUAUGGGUAAACCACUUCUCCAAUCUUUUUGGCUCUAUAUCAAAGAACAAACAUCAAAAACAUAUACAGUUGAAGUCGGAAGUUUACAUACACUUAGGUUGAAGUCAUUAGAACUAGUUUUUCAACCACUUCACACAUUUCUUGUUAACAAACUAUAGUCGGUUAGGACAUCUACUUUGUGCAUGUCACAAGUCAUUUUUCCAACAAUUGUUUACAGACAGAUUAUUUCACUUAUAAUUCACUGUAUCACAAUUCCAGUGGGUCAUAUGUUUGCAUACACUAAGGUGACUGUUACCUUAAACAGCUUGGAAAAUUCCAGAAAAUAAUGUCAUGGCUUUAGAAGCUUCUGAUAGGCUAAUUGACAUCAUUUGAGUCAAUUGGAGGUGUACCUGUGGAUGUAUUUCAAGGUCUACCUUCCCAAUCAGUGCCUCUUUGCUUGACAUCAUGGGAUUUUUUUAAAAAUCAGCUAAGACCUCAGAAAGAAAUUGUAGACCUACAUAGUGUGGUUCAUCCUUUGGAGCAAUUUCCACACGCUUGAAGGUACCACGUUCAUCUGUACAAACAAUAGUACGCAAGUAUAAACCCCAUGGGCCCACCCAGUCCUCAUACCGCUUAGGAAGGAGACGCAUUCUGUCUCCUAGAAAUGUACUUACUUUGGUGAGAAAAAUGCUAAUCAAUCCCAGAAUAAUAGCAAAGGACCUUGUGAAGAUGCUGGAGGAAACAGGUACAAAAGUAUUUAUAUCCACAGUAAAACGAGUCCUAUACUGACAUAACCUGAAAGGCCGCUCAGCAAGGAGGAAGCCACUGCUCCAAAACCGCCAUAAAAAAGCCAGACUAUGGUUUGCAACUGCACAUGGUGACAAAGAUCGUACUUUUUGGAGAAAUGUUCUCUGGUCUGAUGAAAAAGAAAUGGAACUCUUUGGCCAUAGUGACCAUCGUUUUGUUUGGAGGAAAAAGGGGGAGGCUUGCAAGCCGAAGAACACCAUCCCAACCUUGAAGCACGGGGGUGGCAGCAUCAUGUUGUGGGGGUGAUUUGCUGCAGGAGGAAGUGGUGCACUUCACAAAAUAGAUGGCAUCAUGAGGAGGAAAAUUAUGUGGAUAUAUUGAAGCAACAUCUCAAGACAUCAGUCAGGAAGUUAAAGCUUGGUCACAAAUGGGUCUUCCAAAUGGAUAAUGACCCCAAGCAUACUUCCAAAGUUGUGGUAAAAUGGCUUAAGGACAACAAAGUCAAAGUAUUGGAGUGGCCAUCACAAAGCCCUGACCUCAAUCCCAUAGAUAAUUUUCUGUGGGCAGAACUGAAAAAGCAUGUGCGAGGCCCACAAACCUGACUCAGUUACACCAGCUCUGUCAGGAGGAAUGGGCCAAAAUUCACCCAACUUAUUGUGGGAAGCUUGUGGAAGGCUACCCAAAUGUUCGACCUAAGUUAAACAAUUUAAAGGCAAUGCUACCGAAUACUAAUUGAGUGCAUGUGAACUUCUGACCCACUGGGAAUGUGAUGAAAGAAAUAAAAGCUGAAAUAAAUCAUUCUCUCUACUAUUAUUCUGACAUUUCACAUUCUUAAAAUAAAGUGGUGAUCCUAACUGACAUAAGACUGGGAAUUUUUACUAGAAUUAAAUGUCAGGAAUUGUGAAAAACUGAGUUUACAUGUAUUUGGCUAAGGUGUAUGUAAACUUCCGACUUCAACUGUACAUGUUCAAAUACAAGUCUUAAACUAUUAAAGACUACCAGAACCCACCGGAUUAUCCAAUUACCUUGAAUGAACUAUAGAACAAAAUAUAAACCCUCCAACCCAAAAAUGCCCGUGGUGUUGAUGGUAUCCUCAAUGAAAUGAUAAAAUCUACAGUCAACAAAUUCCAAUUGGCUGCACAUAAACCCUCUUAAGGAUCAGACCCUUUUUUUCCAUUUUCACCUAAAAUGACAUACCCAAAUCUACCUGCCUGUAGCUCAGGCCCUGAAGCAAGGAUAUGCAUAUUCUUGGUACCAUUUGAAAGGAAACACUUUGCAGUUUGUGUAAAUGUGAAAGGAAUGUAGGAGAUUAUAACACCUUAGAUCUGGUAAAAGAUCAUACAAAGAAAAAAAAACUUGUUUUACCAACUUUGAAAUGCAAGAGAAAGGCCAUAAUGUAUUAUUCCAGUCCAGGUGCAAUGUAGAUUUUGGUCACUAGAUGGCAGCAGUGUAUGUGCAACUUUUUAGACAGAUCCAAUGAACCAUUGUAUUUCUGUUCAAAAUGUUGUAUCAUGACUGCCAAAAUGUGCACUCUCCUCAAACAAUAGCAUGGUAUUCUUUCACUGUAAUAGCUACUGUAAGUUAGACAGUGCUGUUAGAAUAACAAGAAUUUUAGCUUUCUGACAAUAUCAGAUAUGUCUAUAUCCUGGGAAAUGUUCUUGUUACUUACAACCUCAUGCUAAUCGCAUUAUCCUACGUUAGCUCAACCAUCCCGCAAGGGACCCCCAAUCCUAAAAAAGUUUUAACAUAAAUCUUAGCUCUGGCAUCUUCCCCAGUAUUUGGAACCAAUGACUGAUCACCCCAAUCCACAAAGUGGAGACAAAUUUGACCCCAAUUAACUACCGUGGGAUAUGUGUCAACAGCAACCUUGGGAAAAAUCCUCUGCAUUAUCAUUAACAGCAGACUUGUACAUUUACACAGUGAAAACAACGUUCUGAGCAAAUGUCAACUUGGCUUUUUACCAAAUUAUCGUACGACAGACCACAUAUUCACCGUGCACACCCCAAUUGACAAACAAUCCAAAAAAAAGGCUUAAACCCCACCCUCUUCAACAUAUAUCAAAUCAAAGUGUAUUUGUCACGUGCGCCAAAUACAACAGGUGUAGAGUAGACCUUACAGUGAAAUGCUUACUUACAGGCUCUAGCCAAUAUUGCAAGAAAGGUGUUUGGUGAACAAUAGGUAAGCAAAGAAAUAAAAACAACAGUAAAAAGACAGUGAAAAAUAACAGUAGUGUGGCUAUAUACGAGGCUAUAAACAGUAGCAAGGCUAUAAAAGUAGCAAGGCUACAUACAGACACCGGUUAGUCAGGCUGAUUGAGGUAGUAUGUACAUGUAGAUAUGGUUAAAGUGACUAUGCAUAUAUGAUGAACAGAGAGUAGCAGUAGCGUAAAAGAGGGGUUGGCGGGUGCUGGAUGGGACACAAUGCAGAUAGCCUGGUUAGCCAAUGUGCGGGAGCACUGGUUGGUCGGCCCAAUUGAGGUAGUAUGUACAUGAAUGUAUAGUUAAAGUGACCGUGCAUAUAUGAUAAACAGAGAGUAGCAGCAGCGUAAAAAGAGGGGUGGGGGGGGCACACAAUGCAAAUAGUCCGGGUAGCCAUUUGAUUACCUGUUCAGGAGUCAUAUGGCUUGGGGGUAAAAACUGUUGAGAAGCCUUUUUGUCCUAGACUUGGCACUGGUACCGCUUGCAAUGCUGUAGUAGAGAGAACAGUCUAUGACUGGGGUGGCUGGGGUCUUUGACAAUUUUCAGGGCCUUCCUCUGACACCGCCUGGUAUAGAGGUCCUGGAUGGCAGGCAGCUUUGCCCCAGUGAUGUACUGUGCCGUACGCACUACCCUCUGUAGUGCCUUGCGGUCAGAGGCUGAGCAAUUGCAUUUCCAGGCACAGAAAUAUCAAUGAAUUGGCAAGGACACUAGAACCUUCUGCAGCACCCUGCCUCACCAUACUACAAUCUGAAGUCAAAUGUCUACUCUUUGCUGAUGAUCUGGUGCUUCUGUCACCAACCAAGUAGGGCCUACAGCAGCACCUAGAUCUUCUGCACAGAUUCUAGGCCUGGGCCCUGGCAGUAAAUCUCAGUAAGACCAAAAUAAUGUAUUUGUGGUCCAGUCGCCAGGACCACAAAUACAAAUUCCAUCUAGACACUGUUGCCCAAGAGCACACAAACUAUACAUACCUUGGCCUAAACAUCAGCUCCACAGGUAACUUCCACAAAGCUGUGAACAAUCUGAGAGAUGAGGCAAGAAGGGCCUUCUAUGCCAUCAAAAGGAACAUAAAAUUUGACAUACCAAUUAGGAUCUGGCUAAAAGUACUUGAAUCAAUUACAGAUCCCAUUGCCCUAUAUGAUUGUGAGGUCUGGGGUCUGAUCACCAAUCAAUAAUUCACAAAAUGGGACAAACACCAAAUGAGACUGCAUGCAGAAUUCUGCAAAAAUCUCCUCCAUGUACAACGUAAAACACCAAAUAAUGCAUGCAGAGCAGAAUUGGGCCGAUACCCGCUAAUGAUCAAAAUCCAGAAAAGAGACGUUAAAUUCGGCAACCACCUAAAAGAAAGCAAUUCCCAAACCUUCCCUAACAAAGCAAUCACACACAGAGAGAUGAACAGACCCCACAGAGCCCCAGGACAGCAACACAAUUAGACCCAACAAAAUCAUGAGAAAACAAAAAGGCAAUUACUUGACACAUUGUAAAGAAUUUACAAAAAAAACAGAGCAUACUAGAAUAUUUGACCCUAAACAGAGAGUACACAGUGGCAGAAUACCUGACCACGGUGACUGACCUAAACUUCAGGAAUGCUUUGACUAUGUACAGACUCAGUGAGCAUAGCCUUGCUAUUGAGAAAGGCUGGUGUAGAGAAGACAGGCUAUGCGCACACUGCCCACAAAAUGAGGUGGAAACUGAGCUGCGCUUCCUAACCUCCUGCCAAAGGUAUGACCAUAUUAGAGACACAUAUUUCCCUCAGAUUACACAGAUUCACAAAGAAUUAGAAAACAAACUCGAUUUUGAUAAACUCCCAUAUCUAUUGGGUGAAAUACCACAGUGUGCCAUCACAGCAGCAAGAUUUGUGACCUGUUUCCACAAGAAAAGGUCAACCAGUGAAGAACAAACACCAUUGUAAAUACAACCCAUAUUUACUGUAUGUUUAUGUAUUUUCCCUUACGUACUUUAACCAUUUACACAUCGUUACAUUAUAUCGUUAUAUCGUUAUAUAUACAUAAUAUGACAUUUGAAAUGUAUUUAUUCUUUUGGAACUUCUGUAAGUGUAAUGUUUACUGUCCAUUUUUUCAUUGUUUCUUUUUCUUUUGUUUAUUAUCUACUUCACUUGCUUUGGAAAUGUUAACAUAUGUUUCCCAUGCCAAUAAAGCCCCUUGAAUUGAAUUGGUAGCAUGCCCUUUGGACUACCAAGCAGUUUAAAUUGGGUUAAUCUGACACCUCUGUCAAUGAUCCUCUCUAGGCCUGUCAAGAGUUUUUAUCACCUGUCAGAUGCCUCUGUGGCUGGAUAACAGUGGUACCGAGGAGGGAAGCACAGCAGUUGAAUUGUAAAGUAGAACCUCUUAGCCUGUUUCUGUUAUGUUCGGUGCAGCAACAGCUUUACUAAAUGCAUGUACAAACAAUGGUACCCUAUCCAUUCUUACAAAGACUGUAUCCAUUCUUACAAAGACUGUAUCCAUUCUAACAAAGACUGUAUCCAUGCUAACAAAGACUAUGUAGGUCAACUACAACUAGUUCAAGUCUAUCACUGUAAUUAAAGAAGAGUAUUUGUUACAUUAGAGCACAUUGCAAAAAGUUUAAGUAUUUAUUUUUAUUGUACUAGCUUGUUCAUUUAUUGACAUGUCUAUGCCAAAGUGUCCUAGGUCUGAGUUAUUAUAAAUGAAUGACCUAUAG